UCAGAUUCACCAUGGCCUGCUG
rnacentral:siRNA from 1 species